GCGCCGCCGCCGCCUCUCGUCCACGAACGAUUCGGUUUUUUUAUUUGUUUUCCCCUGAGGCGCGCCUUUGUCGACGCUUCGACGGAAACGGACGGAGAUUGACGAUCUGCUCGCUGCACAUAUCAACGACACUUUCAUAAUUUUUAAGCAAAGAGGCGAGAUGCAUUAUUUAACGAAGGAUGUAGCACUUUCUUCCUGGAAUAAUUGCUUUGUUGGAAGCGAACGAACACAAAACCCAUGAACAACAACUCCCCUGUUCCAUGGCAGCGCUUGUGCAUGUUUGCAACAAAACCCACAGCCAGAAUCUCCAACUGAAACAUCUAAAAAAGAGCAAUGUUCUUUGAAGUGGAAAUGUAAUCAGUUCCUCUUUACUCGCAGAAAAAUCGAUAUGUCCUGUCAAAAUUCUCCCUCGCAGAGUAAGAAAGCUGAAAUGUGUGCCGGGACAAAUUGAACAAAAUCGAUCAUUAUAGCAUCUCUGGCCCUGCGAGGGCAGGAGGUUAACAAUGUAGCACACUGCUCGCUCUUAUUUGUUUCCCUCAAGACAUUUUAAUGUUUUAUCAAUGUACUUUACCAUUCCAAAGUUAUACAGCGUUUUCUCUCGCAUCACGAUAGUUGGCUAUCUAAAAAAAUAAAAUGUAUAUGUCCCAACGCAUAUGAUUGUCUGUAUUUUAUCUGUGAGUUCUUAAUAUUAUGUCAAUGGAAUAAUUAUUAAAUAUAUUAUCUGCCAUUAAAUGAAUGUAAUUAAUU